rnacentral:lncRNA from 1 species
AAUGGCUACAUUUGUGAUCCAUCCUGCCAUCACUGCUGACUCCAGUGGUAUCUGUGGCUGAUCAGGGAACUGGCUAAAUAUGAAUAUGUGGGAGACCAAGUAAUAUUAACUGAAAAAGAUCUGCUAGAGAGUGGUUUCAGAGAGCAUCCCUUCCACCACUGUGUGGUUGCAGAGAUGCCCAAGAAACACUGGACUCUGGAAAGAAAGAAUUACUGUUGGUUUCACCAUGUACUGUUGUACCUAUGACCCUUGAAUUGGCAAGCUAUUGUACUUCUUUGGAUGAGUAAUGAAAAAGGCUUUGGCAUAAAUCAGAAAUUCUGAAGAAUUUAAGCCAGGUCACAAUGAAGUAUCACUGUAGCACCAUGCACUUCUUAGUAGCAGAAUGAAAUGAACCAUCUGUUAACCUCUACAAAAGAAGAGGUGCCCAGGGAAGACAGCUGGAGACCCUUCAAAACCGACAAGGAGUACUUGCUAAAAAUGG